UUGGGCCUUGGCAACGGAAGGAAAGGAACAAUUUCAGAGGGAAGAUAUUCCGAAAGGGGAAUCUAUUCUUCACUUCACUUGAUCCACACGAAUACUCUCUCUUGCAAUCAAAAACCCUAACUUCUAUCUUCAUCAUUCACAAUCAUUACUAUAAGGUUUACUGUUAUGCUUGUGUGGUUUAUAUGGCUUACCCUGGUGUCCUGAACUCGUUAUACGCGGCUGCUGUUUGGAUUGCUUCAUACGCGCUUGUUGCAGUAAUUGGGUUGUUUCAGAUCUCCACUUUUAUUGGUUCUUCCAUUUUUAAUCGGUAAACCACUCUAAAGAGGAGAGAGAAAGAUCGAGAAAUGGUGAAAGAGAUGAUUCUUGAUGUUAUAGUUUGCGGCACAAAUUGACGGCUGCAUUCAGUGUGGUAAAGAGAACAAAAACAUGGUGAAGACCAAAGAUUAUGACGUUUGAGUGUUUUUUUUCUUUUGGUAUGACUUGUGUAUGUCUGCGUCCUAUGUUAACUAUUUACUCUUUUAACAAUCUUUCGAGUGUUUAUUAAUUGAUAUCGUUCAUGUACCUUAAACAACGCUUAUAGGCACAAACAUGCAAAUGUCGCCUCUUGAACUGAAAGAGAGCUAGUAACAUAAACAGCUUUUCUUCAA